rnacentral:rRNA from 1 species
AUUGAACGCUGGCGGCAGGCCUAACACAUGCAAGUCGAGCGGAUGAAGGGAGCUUGCUCCUGGAUUCAGCGGCGGACGGGCGAGUAAUGACUAGGAAUCUGACUGGUAGUGGGGGAUAACGUCAGGAAACGGGCGCUAAUACCGCAUACGUCCUGAGGGAGAAAGGGAGGGAUCUUCGGACCUCACGCUAUCAGAUGAGCCUAAGUCGGAUUAGCUAGUUGGUGGGGUAAAGGCCUACCAAGGCGACGAUCCGUAACUGGUCUGAGAGGAUGAUCAGUCACACUGGAACUGAGACACGGUCCAGACUCCUACGGGAGGCAGCAGUGGGGAAUAUUGGACAAUGGGCGAAAGCCUGAUCCAGCCAUGCCGCGUGUGUGAAGAAGGUCUUCGGAUUGUAAAGCACUUUAAGUUGGGAGGAAGGGCAGUAAGUUAAUCCCUUGCUGUUUUGACGUUACCAACAGAAUAAGCACCGGCUAACUUCGUG